UCCGGUUUGUCACCGGCAGUCACUUUAGAGUGCCCAACUAAAUGCUGGCAACUAAAAUCAAGGGUUGCGCUCGUUGCGGGACUUAACCCAACAUCUCACGACACGAGCUGACGACAACCAUGCACCACCUGUCACUCUGUCCCCGAAGGGAAAGCUGUAUCUCUACAGUGAUCAGAGGAUGUCAAGACCUGGUAAGGUUCUUCGCGUUGCUUCGAAUUAAACCACAUGCUCCACCGCUUGUGCGGGCCCCCGUCAAUUCUUUUGAGUUUCAGCCUUGCGGCCGUACUCCCCAGGCGGAGUGCUUAAUGCGUUAACUUCAGCACCAAGGGGCGGAAACCCCCUAACACCUAGCACUCAUCGUUUACGGCGUGGACUAC
rnacentral:misc_RNA from 1 species